GUUGUAACGGACGAGGACGACGCUGAGAACGAGCUGAAGUUUUGGAUUUUGCCCUGACCUGCCCUGAGAUUGAUAUGCAAUGCAAUCCCAGUCCAGAAGUACUACUGAAACAUUACAGAUUGUGUCAUUACCAAGGGCGCUCCUGGCCAUUGCCAUGUUUGUAUCCUGACUCUGUUUACCUUGUUUACCCUGUUUGUUUAUUGAUGCUAAUUAUACUUUUGCUGGAGUGGCACAGGUUUAUGGCUUAAAAUAAAUGUCUGUUGUGAAAGUGAAAUAAACAUUGAAAUAAUUUGAAA